CGGCGUCCUUGGCAACCAGGUUUGGCGCUCGUGAAUGGGAACCCCCAGCAGGUUGAUUACCUGAGAAUAUGCCUAUUACCAGGGUGCCUGUUAUAAACAGAUUUGGAGUAAUAUCGACCUCUUACCAUGAAGAGCUUUUGAAACGUAGUUCAGAAAAUGUAACUGAAGUAAAUAUUAAAAAGCCAAGAAAACCUCUGUUAAUCACAAAAGAGUUCAUCAAGAAAUUCAAUAACACCGAAAAUCCACAGGAUAAGAAGUUCUUACAGGACCAGGCUAUAAAAAUGCUAUUUAGAUGCAAGGUAAUUU
rnacentral:lncRNA from 1 species